rnacentral:lncRNA from 1 species
AGUUAUGCUACGGACCAUUUAAAAUUAAUUACGAUUUUCGAUUCAUUCAAUUAUAUUUCAUUAAAAAUACCCCUCUAGAAAAUUCUUUGGAGACGCCUAUUUAAUCGCCUAGGUGCCUAUUUUCGCAGCGAAGCAAGAGGAAAGCACCGCGCAUGUUUCUAUCGGAUCGAUACGAAUCGAUUUCCGAUAACAUUGAACAGCAGUUGGUCAGGAAACGGCUCGAAGGGCGGAUGGCGCGCCGCGAGUGAGGUUAUUCUCACUUUUAAGUGACGGGAUUGAAACAAAUUUUCGAUGGAAAUCAAAUAAUUAGAAGGAAAUUAAGCGUCAGCUAAUCCCAUCUACAAAACUAGAUAACCAAAGUUAAACAUGUCUUUGGACUUCUUCACAUAACAGAAGUGGAUAUUCCGGCGUGCCUGCCUUGUUUCAAUCCCGUAACUUAGUUAUUUAGUCACACAACGUGACUCUAUCACGUUGAUUAUGUACUACCUAGUUAGAUUGCUAGCCACUCUGUGAUGGUUUAUCCCUAGAGUGGGCUGUUUUUGUUGGAUAAUACACCAUACCGGAUUUUAUUACAACCAGCAUCUUCACCCAGGACCUUGCAGUAGGACUUACUCACCACAGCAGCCAACCAUUUUAUCGUGCCAAAAGGGAAUUUCCUACGGAAUUCAUCUCCAUGGACUUGCAACCCUACUUUUAACCGACUGUUGUGUAAAAGCUAAGUUUAUUUACUUUUUCAUUAUUUACUUUUGGGUAAGAUAUAUUUGCUACAUUGUAAACUUUUCGUAUGCAUACGAUUAGGAAGAGUACAUAUAUUUUCGUGAUAGAUAGGGUUUUAGGUUGUUGUUUUUUUUUUUCUUUUUGAUUCAGUAUAAGUAGGAGUUAGUUAAAAUAAAUAAAAUCAGGUCUUGUUUAAUAAUCAUAAAUAAUUGUAUCUUAAAAUUUAAUAGGGAAUCGGGUUGUAAAAUUUUGUCGCGGAUUUUAAAUAGGGAAUACGUCUCGUAGGUUUUUUUUGUAAAAUAUAUAAAGAGUCACUGACCAACUCAUUUAUAUAGACCUUUUUGCUAUUCCAACGGACUUUUGAUUUGGAUUUUGAUUUUAAUACUUUUGCUUGGCCAGUGAUAGUGGAUAAUUGCUUGUUGAGUGGCCUUUGCGGUCCUAUUUUAUCUUUUCCCCAUCCACUAUCACUGUUAUUACGUUGCGUUAUAUGUAAAGUGUUAUUAUUUAAUAUUUAUUAUUAAUAUAUUUGUAUGUAUUAAGGUUGGUGUUUUAUUUCAGUCUGUAUUACCAGUAUAUAACAUAGCAAGACAAGAUCAGUAUUUAGUAUUUUAUAUUUCAGGUGGUUGUAACCAGUGUCAUAGAGUUCCUGUUGUUCGUUAUUUCAAAAUCUCGAACCUGUCCAACUUCUUGGUUCUGAGAGCCGAGUUGUUCGUUCGAGUUGGCGCCCUUUUUUCUUCUUCUUUCUUUGUUGUAACUCGAUAUUAUUUUAUCUCUAGCAUUCUUAUCUAUUUUCCUUCCAUUUUUGUAUUAACAGUCUCAUUUCCUUCCUAGUUACUAUCAUUUCAUUACCAAAUUUUCUUCUCAUAUCUCCAAAGCCAAUAUUCGGUGUAUUGAAGCUAGCCCGAAUACUCACUUGAGAUUUAGUGUCUCUCUGCCCUUUUGAUUUUUUUUCCUUCUGAGCUAAGCCCCUCUUCUUUUGUCUUAAAUCUCUUAUCAUUUAUUUUACCCAUCUUUAGUCAGUUCUUCUCUUCAAAAAUCUCUAUACCCAGAGUAAAGAGGGUUCAAUUGGCUAGACCCAACGUGUAGCUUCUUUUACAUUUUUGGCUUUAAAAAUAUUUUCUUUAACUUUUGGUUUUAUCUUGGUGGUUUCAGUGCCUGUGUUUUUAGAUUUUCAUUUUAACGUUUAGUUUAUACUUCAAUUUUUUUUUGGACAGUAUCUUGUAUCUAUAUCUUGAAUAAACUUGUUUUGCUAUGGUAUACUGUGUUGACUGAAUGGAUUGCUUUGUUUUGAUUGGUCAAAUAAUUAUUUUGAAUUAAUAAUAAAUAAAUUGAAAAUUUGAAUAUCUUGAAUUUAGCUAUUUUACAAGUCCGGAAUAGCAUUAAAAGUGAAUCACUACCUUGAAUUAAAAGUUUUUUCGAUUUUAGGUUUAUCGGAAGUUGUAGCAGUACAUUUCAACGGAUUUCACGACUGGACCAAACAAAUAAACAUUACUGGUAUAGGUAUCCACUCACAACAUUAACUUGAGGACAGAGAGUAAGUUAAACUUUACCUACUUACAUUUUAUCUCAUUCUCGUGUUUAUUUCCCAGUUGUUUAUAAUGGCAUCGUUAAGGUAUAAAAUCUUUUUAUUUAUUUUGUUUACCUAGUUAACAUCUGUUGUUGUGCCUUUUAUCUUAUUUUAUCUUAUCUUAAUGUUGACUAAUAUCUUAGUUUUGGACUUGUUCAUUUUGCUGUGAGUUGCCUCUUGAAAGUCCAAACUAUAUACCAUAGGAGUACAGGAUGGAUAAUGGGAAUUUUCCCCAUCUUGAAUUCUGGGUUAAAUAAGUAUUUACAGGGAUAAUUGGAAAACACUUUUCAAAAAAAAAAUAUUUUCUUUGAUUUACUUAUGGUCUUAUAUGGUUUCGCGCGGACCAUGCCCAUAAAGCUUAUGUAGUCGCUUUACUGUGUCAGGGUUUAGCGUGGGUUCAGGACUGAUCACCCCGAACUUGUGCACUUCACUUGGCUCAGAAAUACAUUAAUAUCUAUAAGUUGUUCCCAGAGUGUCUCUUAGGUUGAAAUUAGAAUGUGUCAUCUAGAAUUGGAUCGUUCUGAUAUUCAGCAGUAAGUAAGUCUGUUUAACUUGGUUGUCAUCUCCUAUGCUGUUAUCUUUUAAAUGAUUUGAGUUUUAACAUAUCUUUACCUGAAGUGACUUUACCUUUACCUGAAGUGAGUUUACCUUUACCUGAAGUGAGCUUAUCUUUACCUUUACCUGAGGUGAGCUUAUCUUUACCUUUACCUGAAGUGAGUUUAUCUUUACCUGAAGUGACUUUACCUUUACCUGAAGUGAGUUUACCUUUACCUGAAGUGAGCUUAUCUUUACCUUUACCUGAGGUGAGCUUAUCUUUACCUUUACCUGAAGUGAGUUUAUCUUUAUCUUUACCUGAAGUGACUUUACCUUUACCUGAAGUGAGUUUAUCUUUACCUUGAGUUUAUCUCGUACCUUUACCUUGAUGAGUGCAUCUCUUAUCUAUAUCUGAUUGAAUGUAUAUCUUAUCUUUAUCUUGAUUAUUAUAAAGUCCUAAGAAUCUGUCCUUCUCUGUGCUUGUCGUGAGUAAAGAAUUGGAUCACGUCAAUAGUGCAGUUUAGGUAUUACAGUUAGGACCCUAAUUAUAUCUUACCUUUUGUGCAUACCCUCUACCACGAGUAGAUGUGGGCUUGCAAUUAUCUUUACCUUUUAGCAUACUCUAUACCAUGAGUAUAGUGGGCUUGCUAGUAUCUUUACCUAGAUUGUGUCUUCCUAUCACUGCUCAAGAGAGUAGAUGUUAAGGAUUAUCUUUUACCUUGAUUUUUAGUUGUUGGUGAUAUCCAGAACCAUAUCAUUAUUUAUGUUUAGCUUUGUAGUAAUGUAGUUUCAACUAGUCUUGAUGAAUUAGUCCCUCAUUGAAUUCUCGGGUGAUUAGUAGAAUUUGUUCGCUCUAGUAUCAAUGUUGGGUAAAUUUGAUAUGUUGAUUGUUGUGUAUGGUUCUUGGUUAUACUGUGUUAGGUGUUGUUAAUACACACCUGUAAUUUAGAUUUAAUGAUGGGUUACUAACACUUGAGAAUGCAGAUAGUAAGUAGUGUUAAGAGUUGACUUACUCUAUAAGGUUGUAUAAUUAUAUUUAGAAUGUAAGUGAUUAACGUGUAAUUAUUUGUUUUUCUCUAUCUUUGGUUUUACUAAAUUAAAGUAAAUUAUCUUGUUGAAUAACUCAUGUCGGUCAGUUACACAUCCCUUCUAUGUUCUAUACUUUCUGCAAAUAUGAUUAAAUAUAUCUCACGUGGCCUCUAUACUAUGUAUGACUUCGUUCCUGAUUUUUGUUCUGUCCCCUCAGCAAAUAGUAUGACUGUUGAGCCUACCAUCAUUAUGUUUUUAUCCCACAACGUUACUCCUUUACCGUGUCCACCCUCAGGUUCGCCCUAGCGUCAGUUAGUUCUGGAAAAUAAAAAAAAAGGAAACUUGUGGAGUUUUCCUUUUUUUUUGCUGGAGAUAAGGGAGAAUGUAGCAGUUAUGCUACGGACCAUUUAAAAUUAAUUACGAUUUUCGAUUCAUUCAAUUAUAUUUCAUUAAAAAUACCCCUCUAGAAAAUUCUUUGGAGACGCCUAUUUAAUCGCCUAGGUGCCUAUUUUCGCAGCGAAGCAAGAGGAAAGCACCGCGCAUGUUUCUAUCGGAUCGAUACGAAUCGAUUUCCGAUAACAUUGAACAGCAGUUGGUCAGGAAACGGCUCGAAGGGCGGAUGGCGCGCCGCGAGUGAGGUUAUUCUCACUUUUAAGUGACGGGAUUGAAACAAAUUUUCGAUGGAAAUCAAAUAAUUAGAAGGAAAUUAAGCGUCAGCUAAUCCCAUCUACAAAACUAGAUAACCAAAGUUAAACAUGUCUUUGGACUUCUUCACAUAACAGAAGUGGAUAUUCCGGCGUGCCUGCCUUGUUUCAAUCCCGUAACUUAGUUAUUUAGUCACACAACGUGACUCUAUCACGUUGAUUAUGUACUACCUAGUUAGAUUGCUAGCCACUCUGUGAUGGUUUAUCCCUAGAGUGGGCUGUUUUUGUUGGAUAAUACACCAUACCGGAUUUUAUUACAACCAGCAUCUUCACCCAGGACCUUGCAGUAGGACUUACUCACCACAGCAGCCAACCAUUUUAUCGUGCCAAAAGGGAAUUUCCUACGGAAUUCAUCUCCAUGGACUUGCAACCCUACUUUUAACCGACUGUUGUGUAAAAGCUAAGUUUAUUUACUUUUUCAUUAUUUACUUUUGGGUAAGAUAUAUUUGCUACAUUGUAAACUUUUCGUAUGCAUACGAUUAGGAAGAGUACAUAUAUUUUCGUGAUAGAUAGGGUUUUAGGUUGUUGUUUUUUUUUCUUUUUGAUUCAGUAUAAGUAGGAGUUAGUUAAAAUAAAUAAAAUCAGGUCUUGUUUAAUAAUCAUAAAUAAUUGUAUCUUAAAAUUUAAUAGGGAAUCGGGUUGUAAAAUUUUGUCGCGGAUUUUAAAUAGGGAAUACGUCUCGUAGGUUUUUUUUGUAAAAUAUAUAAAGAGUCACUGACCAACUCAUUUAUAUAGACCUUUUUGCUAUUCCAACGGACUUUUGAUUUGGAUUUUGAUUUUAAUACUUUUGCUUGGCCAGUGAUAGUGGAUAAUUGCUUGUUGAGUGGCCUUUGCGGUCCUAUUUUAUCUUUUCCCCAUCCACUAUCACUGUUAUUACGUUGCGUUAUAUGUAAAGUGUUAUUAUUUAAUAUUUAUUAUUAAUAUAUUUGUAUGUAUUAA